rnacentral:piRNA from 1 species
UCCUUUAGGGCCACAUGGAAGUAAAUCCUC